CGCGUGAGUGAAGAAGCCUUUGGGUUGUAAAGCUCUUUUGUAGGGGAAGAUAAUGACUGUACCCUAAGAAUAAGGUCCGGCUAACUUCGUGCCAGCAGCCGCGGUAAUACGAAGGGACCUAGCGUAGUUCGGAAUUACUGGGCGUAAAGCGCGCGUAGGCCGUUGAGUUAGUUAAUUGUGAAAUCCCAAAGCUUAACUUUGGAACUGCAAUUAAAACUGCUCGACUAGAGUUUGAUAGAGGAAAGCGGAAUACAUAGUGUAGAUGUGAAAUUCGUAGAUAUUAUGUAGAACACCAGUUGCGAAGGCGGCUUUCUGGGUCAACACUGACGCUGAGGCGCGAAAGUAUGGGUAGCAAAGAGGAUUAGAUACCCUCGUAGUCCAUACCAUAAACGAUGAUUGCUAGAUGUUGGAAAUUAUUUACAGUAUCGCAGCUAACGCAUUAAGCAAUCCGACUGGGGAGUACGAGCGAAAGGUUAAAACUCGAAUGAAUUGACGGGGACCCGAACAAGCGGUGGAGC
rnacentral:rRNA from 1 species